rnacentral:pre_miRNA from 1 species
ACACAAGGCAAUCUGUCUUAAGUAGGGUUAAAUUACUCUGGGGGCAGGGGAAAUGGUGAAUCCUGGGUAGUUUUCCCUUCAAGUCAAGUGUCCUGU